rnacentral:rRNA from 1 species
UUAAAUGUAAAAUUUUUAUUUAAUUAUUAUUAGUUAAGAUCUUUAAAAUUAAAAAAUUUGGCGGUAUUUUAGUCUUUUUAGAGGAACCUGUUCUUUAAAUGAUAGUCCACGAUUUGAGUGACUUUUAUUAUUAGUUUGUAUAUCGUCGUAAUUAAAUAUUUUUUUAGAAAUAUAAUAUUUAUAAUUUUUAUAAAAAAAUUAAUCAGAUCAAGGUGCAGUUUAUAUAAAAGUAGAAAUGGGUUACAUUAAAUUAAUUUUUGAAUUUUAAAUAUUAAUAUUUGAUUGAAAUUGGAUUUAAAUGUAAUAUUAAUUACUUAAUUGAUAUGAUUUUGGCUCUAAAAUAUGU